rnacentral:lncRNA from 1 species
GAAUGAUAAAGACUUAACCAAAAUUUCAGACGCAACUUUCAGUGUGUGUGCACGAUGAGUGUGCGACGCUUGCUCCAUUUCAAUGUUCCACUGCAGUAGAAUAAUUUGAGAAGUUUAAUUACAGUUGAGGCAUGUGAAUAGCAUUCGUCACACCCUCUUUUUUAGGGUAGCCAAGAGUGCGACGCAUGAUGCAAUCCACCGCUUCAAAAUAUGGCAAUUUCUCA